GACGAACGCUGGCGGCGUGCUUAACACAUGCAAGUCGAACGGAAAGGCCCUGCUUUUGUGGGGUGCUCGAUUGGCGAACGGGUGAGUAACACGUGAGUAACCUGCCCUUGACUUUGGGAUAUCUUCAGGAAACUGGGGCUAAUACCGGAUAGGAUCUACUGCUGCAUGGUGGGGGUUGGAAAGUUUCGGCGGUUGUGGAUGGACUCGCUGGUUAUCAGCUUGUUGGUGGAGUAGUUGCUUACCAAGGCUUUGGCGGGUAGCCGGCCUGAGAGGGUGACCGGCCACAAUAGGACUGAGGUACGGCCCAGACUGGUACGGUAGGCAGCAGUGGGAAAUAUUACACAAUAAGCGGAAGCCUGAUGCAGCAACGCCGCGUGCGGGAUGACGGGCUUCGGGUUGUAAACCGCUUUCGCCGGUGACGAGGCGUGAGUGACGGUAAUGGGUAAAGAAGCACCGGCUAACUACGUG
rnacentral:rRNA from 1 species